CGAGGCCUCCUGGUGCUCAGCCAGGAUCCUGUGAUGGCUGACGGUGUGCAGAGCCUGACUCAAAGCCUCCUGGAUCUACUGUGGGAUGCAGACGGAGAGCUGGUCAGGAUGGCCCUCUCUGUAUUCCUCAAUGAAGUCCAGGCCAGAGGCAUCUCAAUCUCCACCCCCACUGCCCUGGAGCUGGCUGAGGCACUCCAGACACUCUUUGGCUACAUAAGGCUCUGUGCCCCCCCCACAGGCGCUGGGUGCUGCCAGAAAACUGUAGCCUGUGGAUUUGCAGGCCUGUGGCCCGGUGGGCCUGGAGCAGCCGGUGCUGAGGUGUUUUCCUCUUCCUUUCCAUCAGGACAAUAUCCAUGUGCAGCUGCUCUCCAUUGACCUCUUCUGAAAGGUGUUGAAGUUGGUAGUGGAGGAGGGAAAACAACCCCUGCAGACACACGUGAUCCAGAGCCUGCUGCCACUCUUCUUCCUCUCGCAUGAUGAGAAGGAGCAUCUGGCAGAUGCCUCUUGGGAAGUGCUGAUUCGUGCACUCAGGUUCCUGAAGAGAAGGGAUCUCAAGAACCUGCUGGAGGCAGACAAGCCGUGGUGGUUCUGUGACUGCCUGGUGGAAAGCGAGAAGAAACACAUAGUGGAGUUCAUGUGCCAGGCCCUACCAUACCUGGAGAGCCCACAGGAACCCCUGUGAGAAUUGGCCCUCAGGUUCAUUGGGAUCACCGGGAAGUACCUGAGAAAGGGGCAGGAGGAGGACGAGCUCAUCACAGAGGUCAUCACUGACACCCUUCAAGGCAUGACUGCUGACAGCCCUGCCAUCUCAAGGUGGGCAGUUGAAACCUUGAAAAUCAUCAAGGAUGUUCAGAAAUCUAAACCUAAACCGACACCAAAAUCUAAAUCCACCAGAUUCCGGUAGCCUCCAUUCCUCUCUGUUCCAGCCCUGAGAGGAAUGACCGACGACCUCAGACUCGCCAUCGCAGGCCUGGCCAUUCAAAACUGUACAUGCUAAGAGCUGUACAAACAGCUCCCUGCUCCAGACUCCAGCAGCUCCAAGACUGGCUCUGAAGAGGAAAAUGCCUCUUUUCUGCAAGGACGGCCUUUUACACCAGUGUGGGACUAACAAAUACAUCUAUACAUCUUAUGAAA